rnacentral:rRNA from 1 species
GACAGAGGGUGCAAACGUUGUUCGGAAUUACUGGGCGUAAAGCGCGUGUAGGCGGCUAAGCAAGUCGGGCGUGAAAUCCCACCGCUCAACGGUGGAAGUGCAUCCGAAACUGCAUGGCUGGAGUCCCGGAGAGGAAGGUGGAAUGCUUGGUGUAGAGGUGAAAUUCGUAGAUAUCAAGCAGAACACCUGCGGCGAAGGCGGCCUUCUGGACGGUGACUGACGCUGAGACGCGAAAGCGUGGGGAGCAAACAGG